GACGGAGGAUGCAAGUGUUAUCCGGAAUCACUGGGCGUAAAGCGUCUGUAGGUGGUCAAAUAAGUCAACUGUUAAAUCUUGAGGCUUAACCUCAAAAUCGCAGUCGAAACUAUUAGACUAGAGUAUAGUAGGGGUAAAGGGAAUUUCCGGUGGAGCGGUGAAAUGCAUUGAGAUCGGAAAGAACACCAACGGCGAAAGCACUCUGCUGGGCCGACACUGACACUGAGAUGCGAAAGUGUGGGGAGCAAACGGG
rnacentral:rRNA from 1 species